AGGACGAACGCUGGCGGCGUGCUUAACACAUGCAAGUCGAACGGGGUAGUAGCAAUACUAUCAAGUGGCGAACGGGUGAGUAACGCGUAGACAACCUGCCCUUGAGAUGGGGACAACGUUCCGAAAGGAGCGCUAAUACCGAAUGUUGUGGAGAAACUGCAUGGUUUCUUUACUAAAGGUGGCCUCUGUGUAUGCUACCACUCAAGGAGGGGUCUGCGUCUGAUUAGCUGGUUGGUGAGGUAACGGCCCACCAAGGCGACGAUCAGUAGCCGGUCUGAGAGGAUGAACGGCCACACUGGGACUGAGACACGGCCCAGACUCCUACGGGAGGCAGCAGUGGGGAAUCUUCCGCAAUGGGCGAAAGCCUGACGGAGCAACGCCGCGUGAGUGAAGAAGGUUUUUUCCGGAUUGUAAAGCUCUGUCUUUCGGGACGAAUGUGCUCCAUGUAAAUAAUGUGGAGCAAUGACGGUACUGAAAGAGGAAGCCACGGCUAACUACGUGCCAGCCGCAGC
rnacentral:rRNA from 1 species